rnacentral:rRNA from 1 species
UACGGGGGGGGCAAGCGUUGUUCGGAAUUACUGGGCGUAAAGGGCUCGUAGGCGGCCAACUAAGUCAGACGUGAAAUCCCCAGGCUCAACCUGGGAACUGCGUCUGAUACUGGAUGGCUUGAAUUCGGGAGAGGGAUGCAGAAUUCCAGGUGUAGCGGUGAAAUGCGCAGAUAUCAGGAAGAACACCCGUGGCGAAGGCGGCUCUCUGGGACGGUACUGACGCUGAGACGCGAAAGCGUGGGGAGCGAACAGG